rnacentral:rRNA from 1 species
GUGUCAGCAGCCGCGGUAAUACGGAGGGUGCAAGCGUUAAUCGGAAUUACUGGGCGUAAAGGGUGCGUAGGUGGUUAAUUAAGUUAUCUGUGAAAUACCUGGGCUCAACCUGGGCAGGUCAGAUAAGACUGAAUGACUCGAGUAUAGGAGAGGGUAGUGGAAUUUCCGGUGUAGCGGUGAAAUGCGUAGAGAUCGGAAGGAACACCAGUGGCGAAGGCGGCUACCUGGCCUGAUACUGACACUGAGGCACGAAAGCGUGGGGAGCAAACAGGAUUAGAAACCCUGGUAGUCC